rnacentral:rRNA from 1 species
UACGUAGGGGGCGAGCGUUGUCCGGAUUUAUUGGGCGUAAAGAGCGCGUAGGCGGCCACUCAAGUCGAUCGUGAAAGCUCGGGGCUCAACCCCGAGAUUGCGGUCGAUACUGAGUGGCUAGAGGCUGGUAGGGGGGUGUGGAAUUCCCGGUGUAGCGGUGGAAUGCGCAGAUAUCGGGAGGAACACCGGUGGCGAAGGCGGCACCCUGGCCAGUCCUGACGCUGAUGCGCGAAAGCGUGGG